UACGGGAGGCAGCAGUGGGGAAUAUUGCACAAUGGGCGCAAGCCUGAUGCAGCCAUGCCGCGUGUAUGAAGAAGGCCUUCGGGUUGUAAAGUACUUUCAGUCGUGAGGAAGGUGUUAAGGUUAAUAACCUUAGCAAUUGACGUUAGCGACAGAAGAAGCACCGGCUAACUCCGUGCCAGCAGCCGCGGUAAUACGGAGGGUGCGAGCGUUAAUCGGAAUUACUGGGCGUAAAGGGCACGCAGGCGGUUAAUUAAGUUGGAUGUGAAAUCCCCGGGCUUAACCUGGGAAUGGCAUUCAAGACUGGUUAGCUAGAGUCUUGUAGAGGGGGUAGAAUUCCAUGUGUAGCGGUGAAAUGCGUAGAGAUGUGGAGGAAAUACCGGUGGCGAAGGCGGCCCCUGGACAAAGGACUGACGCUCAUGUGCGAAAGCGUGGGGAGCAAACAGGGAUUAGAUACC
rnacentral:rRNA from 1 species